rnacentral:rRNA from 1 species
CCCUUAGAUGCUCUGGGCCGCACGCGCGCUACACUGAUGCAUUCAACGAGUUCCUACCUUGGCCGAGAGGCCUGGGCAAUCUUUUGAACUUGCAUCGUGAUAGGGAUAGAUUAUUGCAAUUAUUAAUCUUGAACGAGGAAUUCCCAGUAAACGCAGAUCAUCAAUCUGCAUUGAUUACGUCCCUGCCCUUUGUACACACCGCCCGUCGCACCUACCGAUUGAAUGGUCCGGUGAAGCCUCGGGAUUGUGGUUAGUUUCCUUCAUUGGAAGUUAGCCGCGAGAACUUGUCUAAACCUUAUCAUUUAGAGGAGGGUGAAGUCGUAACA